rnacentral:rRNA from 1 species
AGAGUUUGAUCCUGGCUCAGGACGAACGCUGGCGGCGUGCCUAACACAUGCAAGUCGAGCGGAGAAUGCAGAAAUGUUUACAUGGAAGCGUUCUUAGCGGCGGACGGGUGAGUAACACGUGGGUAACCUGCCUCAAAGUGGGGGAUAGCCUUCCGAAAGGAAGAUUAAUACCGCAUAAGCCUACAGUGCCGCAUGGCACAGCAGGAAAAGGAGCAAUCCGCUUUGAGAUGGACCCGCGGCGCAUUAGCUAGUUGGUGAGGUAACGGCUCACCAAGGCGACGAUGCGUAGCCGACCUGAGAGGGUGAUCGGCCACAUUGGAACUGAGACACGGUCCAGACUCCUACGGGAGGCAGCAGUGGGGAAUAUUGCACAAUGGGCGAAAGCCUGAUGCAGCAACGCCGCGUGAGUGAUGAAGGCCUUCGGGUCGUAAAGCUCUUUGAUCAGGGAUGAUAAUGACAGUACCUGAAAAACAAGCCACGGCUAACUACGUGCCAGCAGCCGCGGUAAUACGUAGGUGGCGAGCGUUGUCCGGAAUUACUGGGCGUAAAGGAUGCGUAGGUGGAUACUUAAGUGGGAUGUGAAAUCCCCGGGCUCAACCCGGGAACUGCAUUCCAAACUGGGUAUCUAGAGUGCAGGAGAGGAAAGCG